CACCAGACUCCUACGGGAGGCAGCAGUGGGGGAUAUUGCACAAUGGGGGGAACCCUGAUGCAGCGACGCCGCGUGGGUGAAGGAGCGUUUCGGCGCGUAAAGCCCUAUCGGCAGGGAAGAAGGAGGACGGUACCUGACUAAGAAGCCCCGGCUAACUACGUGCCAGCAGCCGCGGGAAUACGUAGGGGGCAAGCGUUAUCCGGAUUUACUGGGUGUAAAGGGAGCGUAGGCGGCCUGCCAAGUCUGGAGUGAAAGGCGGGGGCUCAACCCCCGGACUGCUCUGGAAACUGUACGGCUGGAGUGCAGGAGAGGUAAGUGGAAUUCCUAGUGUAGCGGUGAAAUGCGUAGAUAUUAGGAGGAACACCAGUGGCGAAGGCGGCUUACUGGACUGUAACUGACGUUGAGGCUCGAAAGCGUGGGGAGCAAACAGGAUUAGAUACCCCUGUAGG
rnacentral:rRNA from 1 species